rnacentral:rRNA from 1 species
UGGGGAAUAUUGCACAAUGGGCGCAAGCCUGAUGCAGCCAUGCCGCGUGUGUGAAGAAGGCCUUCGGGUUGUAAAGCACUUUCAGCGAGGAGGAAGGUGGUGAGCUUAAUACGCUCAUCAAUUGACGUUACUCGCAGAAGAAGCACCGGCUAACUCCGUGCCAGCAGCCGCGGUAAUACGGAGGGUGCAAGCGUUAAUCGGAAUUACUGGGCGUAAAGCGCACGCAGGCGGUUUGUUAAGUCAGAUGUGAAAUCCCCGGGCUCAACCUGGGAACCGCAUUUGAAACUGGCAAGCUAGAGUCUCGUAGAGGGGGGUAGAAUUCCAGGUGUAGCGGUGAAAUGCGUAGAGAUCUGGAGGAAUACCGGUGGCGAAGGCGGCCCCCCUGGACGAAGACUGACGCUCAGGUGCGAAAGCGUGGGGCAGCAAACAGGAUUAGAUACCCUGGUAGUCCACGCUGUAAACGAUGUCGAUUUGGAGGUUGUGCCCCUUGAGGCGUGGCUUCCGGAGCUAACGCGUUAAAUCGACCGCCUGGGGAGUACGGCC